AACAGCUUUGAGACUCACUAAAAGUUGAGUCCCCUGAAUGAUGUAGGCUAUGGGGCCACAUAAGACUUUGUCCAUCCAGGGUUACAUUGAACGACAACUUUAAACUAAAAAACCAACAUUUUUCACACAACUCCAGGUUGUUACUAACAAAUUACUACUACAAGUGUCAUCAAGGGAUAACUACAAGUAGAAGCACCAUUUUUGGAUGGAAAAAACCCUUCAGGAAAGUAUACGUAUCACAUGUAACAUGUAGUGUAACAAAGUAUGAACAGUAAGGUUUUUACAUACAGUAGUAUUACAUACGUACAUAACUUUUUUUUACAGGAAUUUCCAACCAAGUUUGAUUAUGUACAUACAUGUUAUA